rnacentral:rRNA from 1 species
CGCGUAGAUAACUGCCCAGUAGUGGGAGUAGCCGGGAACCCGGACGUAAAACGCAUACGCUCUACGGAGGAAAGGGGCGUUCGGCGUCUCGCUAUUGGAUGUGUCUGCGUGGGAGUUAGCUAGUUGGUGAGGUAAGGGCUCACCAAGGCGACGAUCUCUAGCUGGUCUGAGAGGAUGAUCAGCCACACUGGAACUGAGACACGGUCCAGACUCCUACGGGAGGCAGCAGUGGGGAAUAUUGCACAAUGGGCGCAAGCCUGAUGCAGCCAUGCCGCGUGUGUGAAGAAGGCCUUUCGGGUU